rnacentral:rRNA from 1 species
UCAAGAAACUUCCACAAUGGGCGAAAGCCUGAUGGAGCGACGUCGCGUGAUGGACGAAGUGCUUCGGCACGUAAACAUCUUUUAUGUGGGAUGAAAUUAUUGACAGUACCACAUGAAUAAGGGGCUCCUAACUCUGUGCCAGCAGGAGCGGUAAUACAGAGGCCCCAAGCGUUAUCCGGAAUCACUGGGCGUAAAGGGUGUCGAGGCGGUUGUAUUAGUCGUUCGUAAAAUCUACGAGCUUAACUUGUAGGCGGCGAACGAAACGGUACGACUUGAGGUUUGGAGAGGUGCGUGGAACUCACGGUGUAGGGGUGAAAUCCGUUGAUAUCGUGGGGAACACCAAAGGCGAAGGCAGCGCACUGGCCAAAAUCUGACGCUCACACACGAAAGCUAGGGUAGCGAAGAGGAUUAGAUACCCAGGUAGUCCCUGAG